rnacentral:lncRNA from 1 species
AACCUACCUUAUCUCUCGGGUUUCCUCCGUGACUCCGAAGCCGGUUUGCCAUUUUCUCCCCUCAGAAAGGAGCUUGGACUACUUCUGGAUGUGGCUGAAGCCAGAGCGCAGGUCAGGAAACCUGCAGAAAGCGAAUCUGCAGGGCAGCCACUCUAAAACCUGCUUCAGGACUUGGAUGCUUUUGUUCUCGACAAUCUCACCUUGUUGUUUUGGUUGCCUUCUGCAUGUUUGGGAAGUGAGUUUUGAAUUUUGGGGGCUUGGGCGAGUCGAACAGGGGACGUGUAAAGCCCAGCUUACCAGAAUGGUGCACUGUCAGAGGGAACUUGAGGUCCUAAAGGGAAAACAAAAAAGUCCAAGAGAACCAAACUGCUUCUCCAGUUCCCUGUCCAAAGGGAAACAGAAGUAAAGAUGAGGAAACUAACACAGAGAGGGAUUAAAUAAUAUGCCCAAGAU